rnacentral:lncRNA from 1 species
ACAGCUGUGCUUCCACCUGGCCUUCAGUGCCUCGUGCCCGAGAGCGGAAAAGGGAAAUCGCGAGCGGAGCACCGGUGUGCUGGCCACGUGGGCCCCGCCGGGCCGACUCGACCGUGCUGUCGCCCGCCGCUCCAGUGCUAAGGGACCUGGAAGAGAUCCCGAUGGGUCCUGUCCUGCGGAGGUGGUUUCCCCUGUGAAGCCAGAGAUUCACCCAGGAGCGUGAGGGGAGCCGGGUCCUGAACCCCCAAGCCGCCCACUACCCUCUACUUUACCGGAUGGAAUUCAUCAGUAACUAGCCAGGUCUGAGGUACAGUCAGUGAAUACCUGUUUAAUGAAUGCAUGCAUAAAUGAAUGAAUGGAUGAUCCAGCUCUUCCUGGAGCAGGCGCGACUUCCACAGAAACAAAAAGAGGGCAAACGCGAGCCGUAAGCAGAAUGUCCUGCACUGCCAGAAUUGCCCAGCUUCCUGGCACACCUACCAACCAGUCAUUCCCAACACUGCCCAGUAUGCAGCCUCCCGGCAGAGGGCCUGGAUGUCUUGGCAGAGGGUGUGACGUUCCACCGUCUGUCUUCUUUUGCCAUGGAUGGACAGACAGCAGAGGAGAAGCGUGUCCUGCCUCUGCAGGUGGUCCUGGUGUCAUGGGGUUAAAAGAUUGCAUUUUCAACAUUCUCACAAUGGCUGUGCAGGACCCCCUGUUGUUUCUGUGACUUGGUGCAGAGAUAAGAAACGUCUU